rnacentral:rRNA from 1 species
AACGAACGCUGGCGGCAUGCCUAACACAUGCAAGUCGAACGAGACCUUCGGGUCUAGUGGCGCACGGGUGCGUAACGCGUGGGAACCUGCCCUUAGGUUCGGAAUAACUCCCCGAAAGGGGUGCUAAUACCGGAUAAUGUCUUCGGACCAAAGAUUUAUCGCCUUUGGAUGGGGCCGCGUUGGAUUAGCUAGUUGGUAGGGUAAAAGCCUACCAAGGCGACGAUCCAUAGCUGGUCUGAGAGGAUGAUCAGCCACACUGGGACUGAGACACGGCCCAGACUGCUACGGGAGGCAGCAGUGGGGAAUAUUGGACAAUGGGCGAAAGCCUGAUCCAGCAAUGCCGCGUGAGUGAUGAAGGCCUUAGGGUUGUAAAGCUCUUUUACCCGGGAUGAUAAUGACAGUACCGGGAGAAUAAGCUCCGGCUAACUCCGUG